AAAUUAUCCUCAUAAGUUAGACGAAAAGAGGUACCAUUUAUAAAUUAAAUUCUUAAGACCUUCUAUCGAACUCAAUCUUUGUUUUUGAUGGAGCUCUAAAUUUAUAGAUAAAUGGUGGCACAGAAUCGGAGGCCCCGACUGUUUACUAAAAACACAACACAGUGCAAUCAUUAAUAUGAUAGUAUACUGUGUGAAAUUUGCCCAAUGCCAUUAAUAUAAAAGCGGUCAUGGGAAACUGUGACUAAUUGAAAAUCUGGUUAAUAGCGGUCUUAACCAUGAGGAUCCUAAGGUAGCAAAAUAAAUUGGCCAUUAAAUGUGGUCCGGUAUCAAUAAUGUAACGAUGGCCUCACUGUCUCUACAACUUGCUCAGUGAAAUUGAAUUACGCGUGCAGAUGCGCGUUACCUCCAGGGGGACGGGAAGACCCUAUGCAGCUUCU
rnacentral:rRNA from 1 species